rfam:Limnothrix rosea IAM M-220 NIES-208_Scaffold_43, whole genome shotgun sequence.
UCCUCAGUAGCUCAGCGGUAGAGCGGUCGACUGUUAAUCGAUUGGUCGCAAGUUCGAAUCUUGCCUGGGGAG